CUCCUCUCUCUUUCUCUAUUUGUCCAUGCAGGACACAAAGAUGGAUGGAGAAGCUCCUGGAAUGGGGCUCACAAUAGCUUGUGCCACAAGAUUGAAUCGAGAUUGUUUUGGUUUAACGGCGCCGUGACAACGAGAGGAAUCACCUACACGCAGGACGCUGUGCCUUCAUCCCCCAUCCACCAUCGCCAUUAAAGCCUUAACGUAUGACAUCACACCUUCAUCCAGGUGACCUACGGACUGACCUCAAGAAGAAAUGCACCUGCAGAACAGCAGCUUUGUGGGACAAUAGUUAAAUCCGCUGGGAUCAUCACGUUUCCACUUCUCCGCGUCACAGAAUUGGGCCCUGCGGUGGUCACCUGAGGAGGCGGGGCUUCCUCUGAAGAACACCGCCGGUCUGGUUCCGCCAUUUUAUCAUUUAUUUUUUUCCACAGCGACAGAAUGCAAAAUCAAUUAAAGAGACGUGAACAGAAUAAAAACAGAUCCAAAAAUACGUGUUUUUUAAUUAUUUGAUCAUAUUUCCCAUUUCAGUCCCAGCUGGAGACGUCUGUGUGUAAACCUGUUGGUUCAUGAAUAGUUCAUGUGAAGUGUGAACAGAAGGGAAAUUGUAAAUAAAAUCAAGUCGGACUUUAAAAACAAAAGGCUGAAGGAAACACAAAGCGAAACCACAGAGAGAAGAGAAGAAUGAACACGAUGUCAGAGGAGCAUGAAACCUGCACCAAUGACUCCGUGGUUCUCUGGACUCCUUUGACAUCACUUCCUGCUGAAAGCAGCUUGAGGGUUCAAUGGUCUUCAGUAGAUCACCUUCUUGUCCUUCACCUCACUGCACCAAUCGCUCCACCUCUUCAAUAAGUUGCCUUAAAACGGAGUUUAUUUUGAAAAGUCUGUAUGUAACAAAGUGAACUCUAGCAGGAAAAUGAUUAGAAUGAUGUCAUUUGGUUUGAAUUCUAACUUCAUCCUUGAUUAUUUUGUUAU